ensembl:lncRNA
CACAGACCUUUAUAACAGUAAAAUAUGUAAUUAUAGACACAUGAAUAUAAACCUAGAUUAUUAAAGCCUGUUAAGUACGCUGUAUGAAUAUAUAUUUAUAUUAUUUAUAGCUAUAUAUGCAACAGUAUACAGACAUCCAGAUACACAGAGCGUGCAGGCAUACGGAUGUAUUAUGACAAAUUGUGUGCAUAACACACAGCAUUUAUCAUAAACCCCCCCUUUAAAACAAUAAAAGCUUUAAAAAUAUAUAUUUUAAAGCCAUAUUCAAUUAGUAAAUUCUGAUGAUAUGGGGUGUGGUGUGUAUCAUAGCAAAUAUAGUGUGUGUGUAAAAAAAAAAAAGUCACAGUAAAUGCUGCUAAAUGUAUGCUAUGACAGUGUAAUUACCCAAUUUAAACCGAUACAGAUCUACAGCUACGUAGAGAGCUCUAUGUGCAUCUGUGUGUCUGCUUGUGUCUGUUAGAACAAACACACUGUGUUUGAUUAAAGCCGGCAUUUAUAUCGAUAAAAUCUACUAUAUGUAUUGAUAAAUAUAAAGCUAACCUUUAACAAUAAAUACUGCUAAAUAUGGUUUAUGAAAAUAGAAUUUUAAAAUGUUUUUCAAUAGCCACAUUAUUUUUAAUGUUGGUACAUAAGUAAGUGUGUUAAAACAUAUCAAUUCACUUUUAUAUGUUAUAUAGAUAAAACUACUGAGCAGGUGCACACACGCUGAGCAAGAGCAUGAUUGUGUCUGUGUUAUUUAAACAUGGGUGCGAGGAUUUUAAUGGAAUGUGUUACAUGAAUCUAAGCGACCACUCAGAAUCAAUUCAUAAGAGUACCCAAAAAUUGAAAGAUUUAAACAAAGACUUGCAGCUAAAUCAAAAAUGAGAUGCUUUUGGUCUAUUUCCAUGGCUUGGGAAUUUUGGACCGUGGGUCAAAAAUAUCGCAGGGUUUAUUUUUAUAGCUCUAAUUGCUGUAUUAAUGAUUGCCUUAUGUCUUCCUUGUCUUUUUUCUUGUGUUCAAUGACCAACCAAACGAAGUAUGAAUCAGGUUAUGGUCACACAGUUGUAUGCGAACCUUGCCCUUCCGCAGAUAAAUAAAGAAGGGGGAGAUGCGAAGCUAAAAAUAUCUUUUACUAGAAUGGUAUCAAAGCUAGAGCAAUAGGCAAUAAAGUGAUUCACUGCAUGAAGGUGCUCUGAGUCUGUGACUUCCAUACGCCACAAAGACCAACUGUGAUGCUCAGGCGGUCAGACCACAGCAGCACAGCAGCCGAGGAGGGACAUAAAUUACAACAGCAAAAUUAAGUUUUUGCCUGUAUAGCUCACUACAGCUCCCCUGAGCAACAUAAGCAAAAGGGCACUUUUGCCAACAUAACUAUUAAAACAAGGGCUUCGGCUGGCACAAGCACACAGGCAGACAUAGAUGUCACCCACUGCCCUGCUCCCAGCUUGCAGAACUCAAGGACAGCCUGUCCCCUUUGCUGCCAACCAGGGCUUGUAUUGGUUAAAACCACGGAAGUUACUUCUCCUUUUGAAUCUGCUGAGAAAAGCAAAGAGAUCAGUAAGUUCCUCUUUAUUUCCCUCCCACCCAGCUCAUCUUCCUCCUUCCUUUCCAGUUGGCAGGGGGAGGGCACAAGGAGCCCUGGAGCCCCGAAGCCCCCCUUUACCAGCUCUUGGCUCUGCCUUGAAGGUAGCACAGGAAGACCAAGGAUGAGUUUUUGACACUAAUGCAUGUACUUGGGCACUUCAUCCGGAGGAUGAUGACCCCAGCCCCUCCCCAGCUGCACGCACAGGGUUCUCCUCCCUGGUCACACUGAGGGACCACCGCUCUACUUACAGGACCAGGAGGCUAACGAAAAGGAUAAGGAGCAGCCAAGUGACAACAGUCAAGUUUGGCAGGAGGUCCAUCCUGUGUCCCCGUCUGCCCUAA